rnacentral:rRNA from 1 species
CCUACGGGUCGCAGCAGUGGGGAAUACUGCACAAUGGGCGCAAGCCUGAUGCAGCCAUGCCGCAUGUAUGAAGAAGGCCUUCGGGUUGUAAAGCACUUUCAGCGGGGAGGAAGGUGUUGUGGUUAAUAACCACAGCAAUUGACGUUACCCGCAGAAGAAGCACCGGCUAACUCCGUGCCAGCAGCCGCGGUAAUACGGAGGGUGCAAGCGUUAAUCGGAAUUACUGGGCGUAAAGCGCACGCAGGCGGUCUGUCAAGUCGGAUGUGAAAUCCCCAGGCUCAACCUGGGAACUGCAUUCGAAACUGGCAGGCUAGAGUCUUGUAGAGGGGGGUAGAAUUCCAGGUGUAGCGGUGAAAUGCGUAGAGAUCUGGAGGAAUACCGGUGGCGAAGGCAGCCCCCUGGACAAAGACUGACGCUCAGGUGCGAAAGCGUGGGGAGCAAACAGGAUUAGAUACCCCCGUAGUC